rnacentral:lncRNA from 1 species
AGGAAAGAAGGAUGAUGAACUUUUUUUUUACAACAGAUUCAUGACUCUUGACAAAUAAAAAUAAAAAUUCUUACAGGAGAUUUAUCCAUAAACGAUGAUCAAUCGACUUGACUUCUACGAAGAAUGAGGAUUAUCAAUGGAGAAUCGAAAGUCGAUAACGUAGUUUGAAUAACAAUCGAUUAAUUCAAAAUUUUGUUAUCCAACGAAAAGUGGGG